UGGGGAAUCAUGGUCAAUGGGCGAAAGCCUGAACCUGCGACGCCGCGUGAGUGAUGAAGGUCGUAAGAUCGUAAAACUCUUUUCAGGGAUCUUAAAGCCUGUCUGUCAACAACAGGCAGCUCUGACUCUCCCUGGAAGAAGCCCCAGCCAACUACGUGCCAGCAGCUGCGGUACUCCGUAGGGGGCGAGCGUUAUUCGGAUUUACGGGGUGUAAAGGGUAUGUAGGCGGCCCUUCAAGUCGCGUGUCAAAGUCCAGUGCUCAACGCUGGGUGUGCACGGGAUACUGACGGGCUUGAGGGCUGGAGAGGUGAGCGGAAUUCCCGGUGUAGUGGUAAAAUACGUAGAGAUCGGGAGGAACACCAGCGGCGCAGGCGGCUCACUAGACAGUUUCUGACGCUAAGAUACGAAAGCGUGGGGAGCAAACA
rnacentral:rRNA from 1 species